rnacentral:lncRNA from 1 species
ACUACAUCAACAAUGCUACUACACGUACAGCAUUUGACUCACAACAUUGUUCACAGCGCUAAUGUGAAAAAUGGGCAAGAAAAAAAACCAAAAAGUCAGAGUAAAAUUAUGAAAGAAGCCAAAAACGGGUCAUUUGUCUUCGAUUCAAGGACCCUGUUGAAAACCUAACCCUCCUAACUAUCGUCGUUGCGAAGUCUCUCUGAAGGAAUUUCCCAGCGAUCGUCGAAGCACCUCCGAUCGGUAAAACAGUAUCACCAUUCCUUGAUAUCUCUGCCCAGGUUCCCAUUAAAAGCUACACCCCUCCAACUGCAGCGAAUCUUGAGUCGACCACUGACCGACGUCCAGCUCCCAAAUAACCGGUACCACCAUCGUCACAACCCCUCUGUCGGCAAUAGACAACCUCUGAACUACCUCCUUUGUGUUGGGUAAGUAAAAAGAGGGCAAAUAUGUGAUUUUUUGUUGUUAUGUAUUUCUUCCUCUGUUGUUGAAAAUUGGUUCGAUUUAGCCUCCUUCAUCUCGAAACAUUUGAUUUGCUUUAGCCUUUUCUGUGAGUGAGAUUAUGUGGUGUUUUAUUGUUAUACAUGAAUUCCAAAUAUGUGUGAAUGAAGAUGGGUGAAGAGCUACAAUUGUAAAAUUCGUUCUGGGCAGUCGAAAAUGUGGCAAGAAGAUGAUCUUUUUGUUUCUUCAAAUUACACAUGUAAAACUUAGGUGUUGCUUUGAAUUGGUAAUUACUCGAAUGUUGGUUCGUGCAGACAGUGCUCAAAGAGCUUUACGAUCCAAGUAUAAUUGAGUGUAUUGAUGCAUUCCCUCACAGUGGAAACUCGGUAGGAUUAGUGUAGGUUAAUUAAGUUCCACUGCCUUAAUUGAAAUACUUGAUGCAUUCUUACAAACAGGGGCAGACAAUAUAAUGUUUUCACCCCAGUAUUUUUACACGAGCAUUGUAUGUUAGGUAGUAAUAAUGAUUUUGUGUUAUGUUAAUGUGGUUCUUUUACGUGGUUAAACCAGAAUAUUUCAAUGGCGAGCAAGAAUUAAGGGAAUUUGUCAUUGUUGUAGAACGGCGAGACAUAUGAUGUGGGAUUGCCCAAAAAAGAGAAGAUGCCCAGAAUGUGGUGCGAGAUUCGUCAAGUGGAUGGAGGUGGAAAUGAACAAUGAUCAUAAAAGGGCUAUUAUUUCAUUGUUGUACCCGCGACUGCAGGUUCUUUAAUUGGUGUAAAAAUAAGCUGGGUGAAAUAUGUGCGUUGCAUGACGAUGGAUAAUCAAGUGACACUACAAAUGAUGCUGAGCAGGUGGACGAUUUGUCGCAUAUGUUGAAAUUGCUUGCUACGCUGACGGAUGAGAAAGACUUGGAGAUUGACCUGAACAUAAAGAUGCAGAAGGAGAAACGAGUUUUUGAAGAUUUUAUAUGAAAUCCGAUGUAUUGGGAAGUUGAAACUUAAGUCUUUGUAAUAGUAUGUAGUACUUGUAAAGUAAUGCAGUAUGUAGUACUUGUAAAGUAAUGCAGUAUGUUAAAUUCGACUUAGCUUUGUACUAGUUAUUUUGAACUUUGUAACUUCAAAUAUGUAUGUGGCAAGGUUGUCUUAUAUCGAGUUUGUACUUCCAAUUUGUAUCUGUGGCAUUAUGUAUGUGGCAAAUGUGUUUGCAGUAAUUUAAUCUUCCAUGCCCACUCGGCUCGUGUAUAAUCUGCAAUGAUAUUUUGUUUACAC